rnacentral:pre_miRNA from 14 species
AAACGCCUAUUGUAGAUCCGGACUUAUGCAUUUCAUGUGUGAAGCGGGGAGCACAGACUCUUGCAUAAGUCCGGAUCUACAAUAGGUGUUUU